UUUCCGUAGGUGAACCUGCGGAAGGAUCAUUAAUAAUGGUCUACGUUUUUUAAGUAGACGCUUAAUAAUCCUACCCUUUGUGAUUUGUUUGUUUGAAAUAAUUUUUUUUAAAAUAUUGAAUGUCUUUCCCUGUUGAAUUGGUUGUCUUAAUGGCAAAUGAUUCGCAGGGAGUGUCAUAAUUUUAAAAAGACUUUUUUAAAUUAAACUUUUUGUAUUCAUUUGUCUAAAUUAUUUUUAUAAUAUAAAACAACUUUGACAAUGAUCUCUUGGUUCUCGCAACGAUGAAGAACGCAGCAAAUGCGAUAAGUAGUGUGAAUGCAGAAUACGUGAAUCAUCGAAUCUUCGAACGCAUAUUGCACUUUUUAGUUUACUAAAAAGUAUGUCUGUUGAGUAUCAGUAAAAUAUUCUCAUAAAACUUUUUGUUUUUAUGGUUAUGAGUGUUUACAACGAUACAAGUUGUUUCACUUUAAUUUUUUAAAAUUUGAAUUUUCUAAUUUUAAAAUAAAAUUGGAUAAAUUUCCGUAAAAAGGAAUAACCUAAACAAUUUUAAUUUUUGAUUAGAAUCCAACUAAAGGAAAUUUAACUAAAUAACUGAUCUCAAAUCAGAUAAGAGUACCGCUGAACUUAAGCAUAUCAAUAAGCGGAGGAAAAGAACUAACAAGGAUUCCCUUAGUAACGGCGAGUGAAGCGGGAAGAGCUCAAAUUUGAAAUCUUCAAGGUUUUACCUUGACGAAUUGUAGUUUAAAGAAGUGUUUUCUGUUGAAGUUUGGUAAAGUUCUUUGGAAUAGGACAUCAUAGAGGGUGAGAAUCCCGUAUUUGACCAUUAUUUUCAGCUGUGUGAUACACUUUCAAAGAGUCGGAUUGUUUGGGAAUGCAGUCCAAAAUGGGUGGUAAAUUCAUCUAAAGCUAAAUAUUGGCGAGAGACCGAUAGCGAACAAGUACCGUGAGGGAAGAUGAAAAGAACUUUGAAAAGAGAGUUAAACAGUACGUGAAAUUGUCAAAAGGGAAGCGUUGACACCAGUGUUGUUUCUCGAAAUCAAUUAAAAAAGUUGGAUUUUGUGUUGUAUUGACCUUAACAGCUUGCUUCACUCUUUCUUGCUUUUUUAUGCACUUUCGUUUAACAAGUCAACAUCAGUUCUUUUGUUGUAAAAGGUCAUUGGAAGGUGGCUUUCUCUUCGGAGAAAGUGUUUAUAGCCUUUGAUCCUGCAAUCGAGAGACUGAGGUCUGCAGCGUAGAUCCUUCGGGUUAGAUACAUUGUGCUAAGCUACAGCUUUUCAUAGACAACUUGUUGACUAUGUUUAGUCUGUAACUUACCCGCUUAUGCUAUUU
rnacentral:misc_RNA from 1 species